rnacentral:tRNA from 1 species
GGGUUGUGGCUCAGUGGUAGAGCACUUGCCUAGCAUGCAUGAACACUGGGUUUGAUUCCCAGCACCCA